rnacentral:rRNA from 1 species
CCUACGGGAGGCUGCAGUGGGGAAUAUUGCACAAUGGGGGAAACCCUGAUGCAGCGACGCCGCGUGAGUGAAGAAGUAUUUCGGUAUGUAAAGCUCUAUCAGCAGGGAAGAAAAUGACGGUACCUGACUAAGAAGCCCCGGCUAACUACGUGCCAGCAGCCGCGUUAAUACGUAGGGAGCAAGCGUUAUCCUGAUUUACUGAGUGUAAAGGGAGCGUAGGUGGCAUGGUACGCCAGAAGUGAAAACCCAGGGCUCAACUCUGUGGAUUGCUUUUGGAACUAUCAAGCUAGAGUGCUGGAGGGUUAUGCGGAAUGCCUAGUGUAUCGGUGAAAGGCGUAGAUAUUACGCGUAACACCGGGGGUGAAGGCGGCUUACUGGACAGAAACUGACACUGAGGCUCGAAAGCGUGGGGAGCAAACAGGAUUAGAUACCCGGGGAGUC